rnacentral:rRNA from 1 species
GAUCCUGGCUCAGGAUGAACGCUAGCUACAGGCUUAACACAUGCAAGUCGAGGGGAAACGAUAUUGGAAGCUUGCUUCCGAUAGGCGUCGACCGGCGCACGGGUGAGUAACGCGUAUCCAACCUGCCCACCACUUGGGGGAUAACCUUGCGAAAGUAAGACUAAUACCCAACUGAUAUCUCUAGAAGACAUCUGAAAGAGAUUAAAGAAUUAUCGUGAUGGAUGGGGAGUGCGU